rnacentral:rRNA from 1 species
GCCUACGGGGGGCAGCAGUAGGGAAUCUUCCACAAUGGGCGAAAGCCUGAUGGAGCAACGCCGCGUGGGUGAAGAAGGUCUUCGGAUCGUAAAACCCUGUUGUUAGAGAAGAAAGUGCGUGAGAGUAACUGUUCACGUUUCGACGGUAUCUAACCAGAAAGCCACGGCUAACUACGUGCCAGCAGCCGCGGUAAUACGUAGGUGGCAAGCGUUAUCCGGAUUUAUUGGGCGUAAAGGGAACGCAGGCGGUCUUUUAAGUCUGAUGUGAAAGCCGUCGGCUUAACCGGAGUAGUGCAUUGGAAUCU